AAUGGCAUGAACCUGGGAAGCGGAGCUUGCAGUGAGCCAAGAUUGCACCAUUGCACUCCAGCCUGGGUGACAGAGUGAGACUCCAUCUCAAUAAUAAUAAUAAUAAUAAUAAUAAUAAUAGCUUCAGAUUUUUCCCCUUCAUUUGCUUAUUUUUCUUUUUGCCAAUUACCUACCCAUUUUUUCAGAUGCUCCAACCAAUCUAUCAAAUGCCUAGUGAUAAUUAUCCAAAAACUAAGAUACACUGGAUACUCUAUCAGCCCCAUUAUUUUCGAGGAAAUUCCCACCUAAUAAAUUUUGGUCAGACUAGUUGUCUGCUCUCAAACCCUGUCUCCUGAUAAGAUGUUAUCAAUGACAAUGCGUGCCUGAAACUUCAUUAGCAAUUUUAAUUUCACCCCGGUCCUGUGGUCCUGUGAUCUCGCCCUGCCUCCAUUUGCUUUGUGAUAUUCUAUUACCUUGUGAAGCAUGUGAUCUCUGUGACCCACACCCUAUUCGUACACUCCCUCCCCUUUUGAAAAUCACUAAUAAAAACUUGCUGGUUUUACGGCUCGGGGGGCAUCACAGAACCUGCUGACAUGUGAUGUCUCCCCCGGACACCCAGCUUUAAAAUUUCUCUCUUUUGUACUCUUUCCCUUUAUUUCUCAGACCAGCCGACACUUAGGGAAAAUAGAAAAGAACCUAUGUGAAAUAUCGGGGGUGAAUUUUGCCUGAUAUCUGGCUGAAUUUCCCCCAACAGUUCAUUAUAUGCCAGCAGACACUAGCGAGAAGGGCACCUGAAUGUUUGAGAGACUCAGUGGCACUAUCCUUGGUAGGCCGGGAUCGAUAAGAGGAGAUGCUGCCAUGAGACCAGGCUUCGUGGUGUCAGUGGGAAUGGUGGAAGGUGAGAACAGUGGAUGCCAGGUGGUGGCCCUUCACCAUCAUCCACAAGGUGGAUGUAAUUAACUUAAUUGGUAGGAAGGCUAGAGUGAUAGCCAGGAUGCCCUGACCUCCAGGGAGCUGUUGUGUUAGCUACAAACUGAUGGCAUUCCAGGGGAGAGUUACAUAGGCAGUUGACUAGGGUGGUUUUUUCUUUUGUUUUGUUUUUUGAGACAGGAUCUUAAUCUGUAGCCCAGUCUGGAGUGCAGUGGCACAAUCAUAGCUUUCUGCAGCCUCAACCUCCUGGGCUCAAGCAAUCUUUCCACCUCAGCCUCCCAAGUAGCUGGGAUUACAGGCAUGUACCACCAUGCCUGGCUAUUUUUUUUUAAUUUUUAGUGAAGAUGAGGUCUUGCUAUGUUGCCUAGACUGGACUCAAACUCCUGAGCUCAAGCAAUCCUCCUGCUGCAACCUCCCAAAUUGUAGGGAUUACAGGUGUGAGCCCUAAGAUAUUUCCUGAUUUGUGUAUUCAGGAAACAACAUCAACAAGAUCUGGCCACAGAAGGUUGCAACAAAAAAUUGCAAUUUCCUACCCAGUUUUCAGACUGAGACAAUUGAGACCUAUAGCUCAUGGAUUGUAGGGGAGGCUGGGUAUUCUUAGAAAAAGAUCCUGCAACAUUACCCCAUGAUAUUCAUUAAUUAUUACCUCAGUCCUUCUCCAAAGGGAUCUGGGGUCAUUGAUGAAAGUAACUGUAGCUGAUGAAAAGGGAAUACCCAGACUGUUUGAGGGUCAUUCAUAUAGGAUUAGAGCUGACCGUGCCACCAUAAGAUCCACAAUGCCACCAUGUCCCCUCCCCAGUAAGACUGAGGACAUGUGAAGGCUAGGUAAUAAAUGGAUCCCUGGAUGAAGAGGCUGCAGCCCCAUCUGGUUGUCAUUUCUCUGUCCCUAAAUAUGCAAUUGAUAUGAGUAUGCUUAGAAGCUAACAGAGCUCUCACUUUACUCCCUGACCUGUGGGUAUGAGCCACUAUAGUAGGAAGAGCCCAGGGGAAGUCUCUGAAACUCCCUCUUCCCACUUCCAGGAGCAAUGCAGUAUUCCAGGUGGAAUCACAGAGAUUUAUCACCUCCCUCAACUGUGACUGCCACCUUAUAAUGAUGGUAUUCUUACAUUUCCCCACCUGUCCCUUGUGCCAUUCUCAUCAUCAUUUUACUUCCACAUGUUAUAAACCCCAUAAUGUUAUUACUUUUGCCUCAGUCAAUUAUUUCUAGACAUCAAAAAAUAAGAAAAUAGGAUCUUUUCUAUUUAUCCAUGUAUUUAUUAUGUCAGUGGUCUUCAUUCCUUUGUGUAGAUCCAAAUUUCUAUCCAGUGUCAUUUUUCUUCUGACCAAAGAACUGCUUUUAACACUUCUCAAGAGUGCAGGCCUGCUGGUGAUUAUCCUGGCUUUUGUUUGUGUGAAAAAGUCUUUAUUUUGCCUUCAUUAAAUUUUUUGAAAAUUUUUAUUCCUUUUUUUUUUUUUGUAGAGAUGAGGCCUCAUUAUGUUGCCCAGGCUGGUCUUGAACUCCUGGCCUCAAGCAAUCCUCCUGCCUUGGCCUCCCAAAGUGCUGGCAUGAUUACAGGCGUGAGCCACCACACCUGUCCUUAUGGAGUAUUUUAACUGCUUUUAAUCCCAUAUCUGCAGAGUUAACUUUUUCGUCUCUAGUAAUUCUUCUUUGUUUUAUUUUGAGACAAGGUCUCACUAUGUGCCCAGGCUGGAGUGCAGUGGCACAAUCACAGCUCACUGCAACCUCGACCUCCUGGAUUCAGGUGAUCCUCCUGCCUCAGCCUCCUGAGUAGCUGGGACUACAGGUGCAUGCCACCAUGCCUGGCUAAUUUUUGAAUUAUUUAUAGAGAUAGGUCUCCCUAUGUUGCCCAGGCUAGUCUUGAACUCCUGGGCUCAAGCAAUCCUUGUGUCUCAGCCUCCCAAAGUGCUGGGAUUACUGGUGUGAGCCACCGCACCCAGCCUGUGUUGUUUUUUUUUUUUUUUUUCAAUAUAUCUUCUAUUUCUCUCUUCUCAUCAUGUUCAGAUUUUUCUAGCCUUCUUGAACAUAUGGAGCAUAUUUAUAAUAUGUUAAUGUCCUUGUCUGCAAAUUACAUCAUCUCUGUCAUUUCUGGGCCUAUUUCCAUUGAUUUAUUUCUCUCCUGGUUAUAGGCCCUAUUUUGCCUGUUAUUUUAUUUAUUUAUUUGAGACAGGGUCUUACUCUGUCACCCAGGCUGGAGUGCAGUGGUGUGAUCUCACCUCACUGCAAUCUCCAUCUCCUGGAUUCAAGUGAUUCUCGUGUCUCAGCCUCCCAAGUAGCUGGGACUACAGUUGCGUACCACCAUGCCUGGCUAAUUUUUGUAUUUUUAGUAGAGACAGGAUUUAGCCAUAUUGGCCAGGCUGGCCUUGAACUCCUGGCCUCAUGCAAUCUGCCCACCUCAGCCUCCCAAAGUGCUGGGAUUACAGGCAUGAGCCACUGUGCCUGGCCAUUGCCUGGCAAUGUUUUAUUUACUGGUAGACAUUGUGUUUUUGUGUCGUGACUGCUGGAUUUUGUUUUCCUUUAAAUAGUGAGGGACUCUGUUCCAGCACUAGUUAAGUUACUUUAAAUAAGUUGGAUCUAUCAAGGUUUGCUUUCAAUCUUUGUUAGGACAGUUUCAGAGAAGCCUUUACUCCAGUGCUCAUUUAGCCCCACUAUUAAGGCAAUACUUUUCUAAAGCUUCUCUUCCAUUUCCUAAGUAUUAUGAGGUGUUUUCAUUCUGACUAGUGAGAAUAUGAAUUCUCUCUAGCCUGUUGUGAGCUCCGGGGAUUCUUCUGUCUGCUUUCUGGCAGUUCUUUCCCUGGGUACUUUCUUCUCACAUACAUCCAUAUCAGCCCUUUGCCAAAGGCUUGAGGGCAUCUUCCAUAGCUCUCCAGAGUUCAUGUGCUCUCUUCUCCCACCUCCUCCCUGGUACUCUACCUCACAAAUUCUACCAGCCUUGAAGAUCUUCCCAAGCUCUGAUCUCUGUCUCCUCAAUCCACCAAGACCACUGGACUUUGGAUUUCCCUCCCUGCAUUGGAGCCUGUAAGUGCUUCCGGCAGUAAACUGAGGACACUGUAGGGUUCACCUUCUUUUAGGGAUCAUAGUUCUGCUCGACCUGUUCUCUGAUGUCUGAAAACUAUUGUUUUAUAUAUGUUGUUCCAUUUUUCUAGUUGUUCAAGGUGGGAGGCAAAUCUGGUCCCUGUUAGCAAUCAUGGCCACAUGUAGAGGUUGCAGGAUGUUGUUUACAUCUGUAUCUUUUUUUUUUUUUUGAGACAGGAUCUUGCUCUGUCACCCCAAGUGGCGCCAUCUCGGCUCACUGCCACCUCCACUUCAUGGCCUCAAGCGAUCCUCCCACCUCAGCCUCCCAAAGUGCUGGGAUUACAGGUGUGAGCCACUGCACCCGGCCUAAAAUUGUAUCUUUCUUAUUAUCAGUGAAGUUAAACAUUUUUUCCUGUGUGUCAGUGGCAUUUGCGCUUCUUUUUCUUUGAACUUUCAUAUAUAUUUUUCCAUUUUUCUUAGAACUGUUGGUCUUUGUCUUCUCUACUUUUAGAAUAGAAUGAAUAUGAUAUUAAUCGUACUUCGAAUUGUGGCCAUGAUGGAGUACCUGUAUUGAUGAUGGUCUCCCAGCAUAAACAACUACAAAGCUGGACAAAGUACAUGAAGAAAUUGUCUUCAGCCAUUGGGCAAUAGGCAGUUCCAGGUACAAUCUGAGAGAAGGGAAUCACAUGAAGUGACUGCUGUGUUUUUCUGGUGGGGAAAGUUUCUAAACCCUCAAUGACAGCAUGAGGAAGCAGAGUUCAGGCAAUGAGGAUCAGUCUUGUUUGGUGGAGGAAACAGAGACUGCUGCUCAGGGCUGCUAAAAUGUGUGUGGCAGAGUAUCAGAAAGGAUGGAGUUGCAGAGGAGAAGCCCCAGAAAUCUUAUAGAGGUUGCUGCAGGUCCUUGGCCAAAUCCCAAACUCUGAAUGUGUGGAUUGAGACUCUGCAAGGCCCAGCACAGAACAGCUGAUGGGGAGCUGAGAGCUAAACAGCGAUUUCAGUGGUCACAGAGUGCUGGAAACACAUCUGAAUUCUGGCUCAGCCAGAGUCUCCACUCUUGGAAUCUCAGGUCUUGAUGAAUAUCCCAGACAUUCACAGAGGGCCUAGAAGGCCAUGCCUUAGGAUUAAGGAAGAUUCUCUAGGAAUAAGAGCAAAACUGAAAAACAGCUCACCCUAACAAAACCUAAAAUGUAGCCUUGACACUCAAGAUCAAGUUAACCCAACAGCAAUUUAAUUCCCUGCCAAAAUAAAACUCAACACUAGAGUAGGAUAACAUAACCCACAUCUCUACAAUGAAGGUUCACAACGUCCAACAGCUCAAGAAAUACUAGAUGUGUGAAAAAGCGAGAAAAUAUAUCCUAAAAUUAAGAGAAAACCAGUCAAUACAAACAGAUCCACCGUGCCUGGUCCCCUUUUUAUUGUUGAAUAGUAUUUCAUAGAAUGGAUAUGUCAGUUUGCUUUACCAUUCACCUAUUGGGGGAUAUUUGGUUCUUUCCAGUUUGAGGCUAUUACAAAUAAAUCUGCCACGAACAAUCAUGUAUGAGUUUUUAUGCAGACAUCAGUUUUAUUUUCUGGUACAAAUGCCCAGAAGCAAUUGCUAGGUCAUAUAUUGAGGUGUAUGUUUGAUUAAAGAAGCUGCCAAACUAUUUUCUAGAGUGUCUGUACCAUUUUAUAUUCCCACCAGCGAUGUAUGAGUUAGUUUUGUCUGCAUCCUCGCCAUUAUUUGAUAUUACCACUAUGUUUGAUUUGAGCUGUUCUAAUAGAUCUGUAGUGAUAUCUUACGUGGUUUUAAUUUGCAUUUCCCCAGUGGUUAGUGUUGAAGAUCUAUUCUUGUGCUUUAAGUCAACUCAUUUUUAAAACCUAAAUACAUGUAUUUAAAAAGGAAACUUUUAGGAGGCCAAGGCAGGUGAAUUGCUCGAGCCAAGGAGUUCAAGACCAGCCUGAGCAACAUGGUGAAACUCUGUCGCCACAAAAAAUAAAAAAACAUCCGGGCGUGGUGGCAUGCGUCUAUGGUUUCAGCUACUUGGGAAGUGAGGCAGGAGGAUUGCUUAAGCCUGGGAGUUUGAGGCUGCCGUGAGCUGUGAC
rnacentral:lncRNA from 10 species